AGACAUUAAGAAUAAUUAUGUUAAAGAAUAAAUCAGUCAGAUGGCCACAUGGUAAAGCAAUGGCCUUCUAUCUUAGAGGAUCUGGAUUCAAUUUCAGAUCCCACAACUUUAGUUUUUCAAGAAGUGUUUUGUCCAGUCUUCCAGUUGAUCCCAUCACAGCUGUUGGACAGCCAGGGAUUGGCACUAAAAGUAGCCACUGCCAGAUAAAGUAUAUUCCAUGUACAAUACAGUGGCUUAAUUAAACUAACCUAACCUAACUUAAUCCGACCCAGACCCAAAAAUAACUUAUUAAAUCAUAACAAAUAACAUAUAAAACCUGUUUUGUAUUAUUUGGUAUGUUAUAUGUCCAGUUUUAGGUAAGCAUAACACCUUAUGAGCUCUAUUAGACUUUUCUGAUACCUUAGGACAGUAGUUUCCAAACUUUGUGUUAAAAAUUGGUAUGCCCCUCAUUUUCAUAACAGUC
rnacentral:lncRNA from 1 species